rnacentral:rRNA from 1 species
GACGAACGCUGGCGGCGUGCUUAACACAUGCAAGUCGAACGGAAAGGCCCUGCUUUUGUGGGGUGCUCGAGUGGCGAACGGGUGAGUAACACGUGAGUAACCUGCCCUUGACUUUGGGAUAACUUCAGGAAACUGGGGCUAAUACCGGAUAGGAGCUCCUGCUGCAUGGUGGGGGUUGGAAAGUUUCGGCGGUUGGGGAUGGACUCGCGGCUUAUCAGCUUGUUGGUGGGGUAGUGGCUUACCAAGGCUUUGACGGGUAGCCGGCCUGAGAGGGUGACCGGCCACAUUGGGACUGAGAUACGGCCCAGACUGCUACGGGAGGCAGCAGUGGGGAAUAGUGCACAAUGGGCGGAAGCCUGAUGCAGCAACGCCGCGUGCGGGAGGACGGCCUUCGGGUUGUAAACCGCUUGCGCCUGUGACGAAGCGUGAGUGACGGUAAUGGGUAAAGAAGCACCGGCUAACUACGUG